UACGGAGGGUGCAAGCGUUAAUCGGAAUUACUGGGCGUAAAGCGCGCGAGGCGGUUUGUUAAGUGAGAUGUGAAAGCCCAGGGCUCAACCUUGGAACUGCAUCUCAUACUGGCAGGCUAGAGUACGGGUAGAGGGGGGUAGAAUUCCACGUGUAGCGGUGAAAUGCGUAGAGAUGUGGAGGAAUACCAGUGGCGAAGGCGGCCCCCUGGAUCGAUACUGACGACUGGAGGUGACGAAAGCGUGGGGAGCAAACAGAUUAGAUAC
rnacentral:rRNA from 1 species